AUAGGUGUUGGCUUCAGUCACUUUAGGACAUACAUUCUGGAGGGGCAUUAGGAACAAAUACACAGAUACUAACUUUCUGCAACAAAAUGGAAUGCUUUAAAAUCAUUGCCUAGCAAAUUGAUCUUCCCUUUUUAAAGUGGUUGUGUUUCAGGAGGUGUGAAUGUUUAAGUAAUGAUAAAACAUUUUCAAUAAGGUGAGGAAGAAUGUUGGUUACUUGGUGAAUGUAAACAGAACUGAAUGAGGAAGCUCUGGAUAAAUACAUUUCCAAUAACGAUUUAUUUACAUGAAUUUCUAUUCAGGAAGCAAAGUUUAAAUCCCGAAUCAUAUAAACUAUUCCCUAUAUUCAGAAAAUAUAGGAAGCAACUUGAAGCUCAUUUUAUUCAUUUCUUGAAAAAGGAUUUUUGAAAUACAGGUAUACCUGGCCACAGGAAAUCCAGACACAUGCAAAAUCAGAUUUACACAUAGGAUAAAUUAUUUUAAGGGUUCUCUGAACACCAAUGGCUUCAUCCAUCAACUUGAAGCUGCUUCUGCAAAUGUGCACACACUUCCUGAAAAGAUUUAUAAUCCAGCCAAUACGGUACAUUUUGAAUGUGUUACAGAAAGGACAGAUUUACAGGAGACAAUCUGCCUUCAUGACGAUUGCAUAUUGUGGCAUUUCUAGUCCAUAUGGAUCAGUAAGAGUUGGAUAGCAGGCAUUUGACCUUCAAAAUCAUGCAAAUGUGAAACCAGACUUCUCCUCUUACAGCUGCAAGCGUCAGUAGGACUUCUUCAGCUUCUUCUGGGGGAACUGAUUAAAACACAGUUUGACUACAGAGGCGUCCUGAGGUUUGACUACUCCUGUGCUUCUCCUCAGAGAGAAAGGUCUCCCUCUUUGCUCCCUUCCCACACAUCCCCUCUGGCUAACCUUCGCUCAUUAGCACCCAAAUCUCAGCUACUGAUCAUUUAAGAGAGAACUUGCUAACUCCUAGCCACAGGCUAGCUCUGAACAAGACAUCAACCCUUUUUGUUCCCGUCACAGUUAAUCUCCAGGAAUAAGUUCUGAUAGCCUUUGAAAAGGUCUGAACGUAGUUUUCUGUCACAGGCCCUUGGAAGCUAUGCUUUCUCACUUCCAAACCUUGAUAGUGCCAGAGAGAAUCAGACUGUUUAUCUAGCAAUGAUAAUUUUCUGGGUUUAUAGUGUAACAAUUCGCCAAGAUUAUUGGAACAGAAUCACAAGAAGUUAUAUUUGUUAAUCGGCCAACUUUUUUUUUUCCAUUUAAAAAUUCAUUGCAAAAUG
rnacentral:lncRNA from 1 species